rnacentral:rRNA from 1 species
UACGUAGGGUGCAAGCGUUGUCCGGAAUUAUUGGGCGUAAAGAGCUCGUAGGCGGUUUGUCGCGUCUGCUGUGAAAACUCGGGGCUUAACCCCGGGCCUGCAGUGGGUACGGGCAGACUAGAGUGCGGUAGGGGAGACUGGAAUUCCUGGUGUAGCGGUGAAAUGCGCAGAUAUCAGGAGGAACACCGGCGGUGUAGACGGCUUGCUAGACCAUAACUGACGCUGAGGCACGAAAGCGUGGGUAGCAAACAGG